UCAGAUUGAACGCUGGCGGCAGGCCUAACACAUGCAAGUCGAGCGGAUGAAAGGAGCUUGCUCCUGGAUUCAGCGGCGGACGGGUGAGUAAUGCCUAGGAAUCUGCCUGAUAGUGGGGGACAACGUUUCGAAAGGAACGCUAAUACCGCAUACGUCCUACGGGAGAAAGCAGGGGACCUUCGGGCCUUGCGCUAUCAGAUGAGCCUAGGUCGGAUUAGCUAGUUGGUGAGGUAAUGGCUCACCAAGGCGACGAUCCGUAACUGGUCUGAGAGGAUGAUCAGUCACACUGGAACUGAGACACGGUCCAGACUCCUACGGGAGGCAGCAGUGGGGAAUAUUGGACAAUGGGCGAAAGCCUGAUCCAGCCAUGCCGCGUGUGUGAAGAAGGUCUUCGGAUUGUAAAGCACUUUAAGUUGGGAGGAAGGGUUGUAGAUUAAUACUCUGCAAUUUUGACGUUACCGACAGAAUAAGCACCGGCUAACUCUGUGCCAGCAGCCGCGGUAAUACAGAGGGUGCAAGCGUUAAUCGGAAUUACUGGGCGUAAAGCGCGCGUAGGUGGUUUGUUAAGUUGGAUGUGAAAUCCCCGGGCUCAACCUGGGAACUGCAUCCAAAACUGGCAAGCUAGAGUAUGGUAGAGGGUGGUGGAAUUUCCUGUGUAGCGGUGAAAUGCGUAGAUAUAGGAAGGAACACCAGUGGCGAAGGCGACCACCUGGACUGAUACUGACACUGAGGUGCGAAAGCGUGGGGAGCAAACAGGAUUAGAUACCCUGGUAGUCCACGCCGUAAACGAUGUCAACUAGCCGUUGGGAGCCUUGAGCUCUUAGUGGCGCAGCUAACGCAUUAAGU
rnacentral:rRNA from 1 species